GAUGAACGCUGGCGGCGUGCUUAACACAUGCAAGUCGAACGGAAAGGCUCCUGCUUGCAGGGGUACUCGAGUGGCGAACGGGUGAGUAACACGUGGGUGAUCUGCCCUGCACUUCGGGAUAAGCCUGGGAAACUGGGUCUAAUACCGGAUAGGACGAUGGUUUGGAUGCCAUUGUGGAAAGUUUUUCGGUGUGGGAUGAGCUCGCGGCCUAUCAGCUUGUUGGUGGGGUAAUGGCCUACCAAGGCGUCGACGGGUAGCCGGCCUGAGAGGGUGUACGGCCACAUUGGGACUGAGAUACGGCCCAGACUCCUACGGGAGGCAGAAGUGGGGAAUAUUGCACAAUGGGCGAAAGCCUGAUGCAGCGACGCCGCGUGGGGGAUGAAGGCCUUCGGGUUGUAAACUCCUUUCGCUAGGGACGAAGCGCAAGUGACGGUACCUGGAGAAGAAGCACCGGCUAACUACGUG
rnacentral:rRNA from 1 species